CUCGGAUCUCAUUUCACUAGUUCAUCAAAUUUCACAAUCCCUGUAAUAUUUUGAGAUGGAUUUUUUUAAAGUUCCAUUAGAAUGUCCCUUGGUGAUGUCACCAUGGUUGUGAUAAAUAACUGUAGUUUAAAGGUUACUUAACUAAGAGUACUAGACAUAACUGCCCUCACAGCACUCCUGAUAUGUGACUUAUCACCAGAUCCUGCGAUUGCUGACAGCGGUGCACAGAACAGUCUGGAAUGUUGCUAGGGACAGGCAGAUGGAAAGGAUACUGCAGAGAAGACCAAGAAAGAGAAAUAGGAAGAAAAUGCAGAGUGGGUUGUCAUGGAAUCUUCAAGAAGGAAGCUCAUUGCCUGACCCACUUGUUUCAUAAUGCAAUGAAAUGCUAAAGAAUUUUAACUCCAUAAGGAAAAUCAGGGCAAGACAAUAAAAGAAACAUUAAAUAUUAGUAAAAGUACACUCAAUAGUAUGACUUCUGUCUUGUUCUUUAAAAUAGGUGCCUCUGUUCCUUAUGUUCUACUUGUGUUAAACUUUAAUAAGGGAAUACAAUUUUCAAAAGCAAGCAAUCAAAAAUCAUGGUUAAAUGGAACAACUGGAGCAGUGA
rnacentral:lncRNA from 1 species